rnacentral:rRNA from 1 species
UACGUAGGGGGCAAGCGUUGUCCGGAUUUAUUGGGCGUAAAGAGCGUGUAGGCGGCCAGGUAGGUCCGUUGUGAAAACUCGAGGCUCAACCUCGAGACGUCGGCGGAAACCCUCUGGCUAGAGUCCGGAAGAGGAGAGUGGAAUUCCUGGUGUAGCGGUGAAAUGCGCAGAUAUCAGGAAGAACCCCCGUGGCGAAGGCGGCUCUCUGGGACGGUACUGACGCUGAGACGCGAAAGCGUGGGGAGCGAACAGG